rnacentral:rRNA from 1 species
GUGCCAGCAGCCGCGGUAAGACGAAGGACCCGAGCGUUAUCCGGAUUCAUUGGGUUUAAAGGGUGCGUAGGCGGACUGAUAAGUCAGUGGUGAAAGCCUGUUGCUUAACAACAGAACUGCCAUUGAUACUGCCAGUCUUGAAUAUGUUUGAUGUGGGCGGAAUAUGACAUGUAGCGGUGAAAUGCUUAGAUAUGUCAUAGAACACCGAUUGCGAAGGCAGCUCACAAAGCCAUUAUUGACGCUGAGGCACGAAAGCGUGGGGAUCAAACAGGAUUAGAUACCCUGGUAGUCC